GCCUACAGCCUUGCCACCCUGAACAAGCUCGAUCCUGUCUGAUCUUGGACACUAAGCAGGGUCAGGCCUGGUUAGUACUUGGAUGGGAGACUGCCUAGGAAGACCAGGUGCUGUAGGCG
ensembl:rRNA 5S_rRNA 5S ribosomal RNA